AUGUAUAGUCAGAUUUUUUAUUCUCAGUUGGAUGUUAACAACACUGUCAUUAUAUCAAACUUUAAAGUUGUUCUCAGUUGUUCUUCAUAUUUAGUUUUUCUGCCUCAACCAUAUUCAAGUAAUAUGGUUUUAAUGAGCCAUCCUUGCUUUUACAGUGGCAUAAUAAAAGUUUGGCGAAUGGAUGGUGAUGAAUUUCAGAUUUGGCAAGUGGAUGCAGAUGAAUGGAGAGAUUAA